UACCUUUUUGGGGCCCACAUCAAGUCUCUCAACCUACUAUAAUCUCUUAAUUUUUUGAUAGAAAAAAUAAAUGUAGAGCUGUCAAAUUUUGAGUUGUUUUGCACUUCAGCUCCUUCAAGAAAACCAAUAAGUAUUUCCUUUGCCGAGGUUGUUUCACAUUUUGCUCUUUGUUAACCUACAAGAAUAAAGAUGUUGUCAUUUUCAUCUCAUACCUACCAUGGGAAAAUGAUUUCUUUAUCAAAAGGGGAUGAAAUUGGCAUCUUAUUCACUUCAAGAGGUGUACACUACUAUCACUUUGAGGUAGCUCCUGAACGUGUUUUUUGAUUUCCUGGAUAAUUUGGUAUUAUUUUUUCUUGUACAGUUGCAAGAUAGAGUUGGCGCUUCACCAGUUGAUAUGAGCUUACAUGGGUUCUAGUAAUUAUGAAAUAAGCGAGGAUGCAUCACAAUCGUCUGAUUGCCAACUUUUCAUGGCGGAUUUUGUUUGUAAGUGUAAAGUGUUACAUGAAGAACCAUAUAAAUUAGGCAAGGAGGAAAAACGGUAUAUCUUAUGGUUUAAUACAAGUACUACUUUGUAUUUGCUUUUGUAAAUUGUCUAUACGAUUGAAUAUGUUAUGUAUAUGUAUGAUCAUUUUGGAUCAUUUUUAUCGAAAUGAAAAUUUUAAUCAUUGUUUCCUUGUUUUAUUACAUUUGCUUAUUAUCAAUAUUAAAUUAUCACGGGGUAUAUUUAUAUGAGAAGGUAUUGUGUCAGACUCGUCUGACACAAUACAAAUGGUCGGAUCACUUCAGUUAGAAGCACUUGGGUUUCAGUUGAUCUUCAUUUUUUUCGGUUAAUUUCUAAUUUUUUUCAGUUAGUCUUCAUUUUUUUCAGUUAGAGUAUGGUGAUGGAACAUACGGAACCCCUGUUUCUUCCCAGGGAUGCAAAUUCCGAGAGAGAAGGUGAUGGGUAUAUACUCGCAUUCGUAUUGCGUGAAAAGCAAAAGAUAGAAGAAGUAAUCAACAUGAUCAACAAAUCAGUUCUUGAGAGGAAAGAGAAGAAGAAGAAGAUGGAUGAGCAGGAAUCUGUUAACAAUGAGUUGAAUAGUAGUGUUCAACGAGAUGUUUCUACUUCAAAUUCUUCUGAUUCAUAUAGAUCAUAACUAAGUUUACUGACCUUCCUGUCAUCAGUAAUGAUAUUAUUCUUUCCAGGAGUCUUGAAGCAAAGCCAAACAACUACUUGGACAAUUUGAAGGCAGAAUAAUGUUGUUUGGUUGAUUAUCUAGUCUUCUCUUCCUAUCGUGAGGACUGUGAGUAUGUUGUCGAUGUAAAUGAUGCUGCCGUGCAAGAAAGAAAUCUUUCUCUGCAAAAUGAGCUUGAGCACAUCAUUCUUGUCUAUUAUGAUUUAUGAAGGAGAUGGAACUGAAUUGCUUUUGUACAGCUUGCAAAGUGUGAUCUCCUGAGUUUGGCUCCUCGUUCUUGGCUGACUUCCAACAUCUUAGAUGCUGCUUCAUACUAGUUAAUGGUUUUGCAAGUAAAAUACUAAUGCAUAUAACUGAAUGAAAAAGAUAUUUGGUUAGUGUGGCAAUAGGUUGUACACUUUUUAUGAAUGAAACGUGUUCUUCCAUUUAUCUCUGGCCUUUUAUUUGCUUUAUUUUGUUGUUCGAGUUUUGUGUCCUUCGACUAUUGUUGGUUCCUCUAAAGUGCCCAUGUUAUUCGAUGUUUGAGGGGAUGCACUUGGUCCUCUCUACUCCUAGUUUGUGCCCCCUGCCAGGUUAGCCCAUUCCUCUAAUAUGGGCCUCCUGCUAGGUUUUCCUAGCUCAGGCCCCUCCCCUAUUUCGGGCUUUUGCUUGGGAUCGGGCCCAUGAACGUGGUUGGUGUGGCCUCGAAAAUUAUGUUCACGCCGACUCUUCUAUAAGUAUGCAGAGCUUUCUCUUCUUUUGAUUCAUCUCUCACAUUUCUUUAGAACAUGUCGCAACGAACUAUAACCCUUAAAGCACUUGGAGCUACCAAACUUCGCAAGAAGGAUGGUGUUAGUUCCACGCUGGUUCUGGCCAAUUCGACGACGACGUCAAUGGAUGGGUUGACUUUGAAGAUCAGUACCUCGCACUCUACAACGCUAUUGUCAAGUGUGGUGGUUGCCCCUCAUCUUGGCCCUAUGAAGCUCGAGGAGGGAGAGUGCGUCUCUGCUUAUCUUCCUCCUCCUUCAAUGGGAAACACUGAUACCUCUUGCAAGAGGAUGAAAGUCAAGGACUCUUCUCCUUCAACUCCUUUCAUUGCCCUUGAGAGGAGGGAUUUGCUUGAGAGGGUCGACAGGGAUUCUUGCUCGUUAUGACCUUUGUUGACGAGGAGUCUUUUCGGUCUCUAGGGGAGCUCAAGGUGGAGGCUCGGGAAGCGACAUGGGUCAAGUUCUCCAUUCGAGUCGCUGCGAUGACUCGUUCAAGUGGAGGCAUAUGAAGACAAGGCGCUAAUGAGGUUGGCUACCAGCAUCAAGAGGAGAUUUGGGUCCUCAAUGAAAAGCUUCACAUUGUGGAGCUCAAGUUGGGGGAGGCGGAGACCACCAUCAUAAAGGGGCAGAUGUCCUUAGAUCGAUGAAAGGAUAGCUCAACUCUAGGUUACCAUCAAGGACCUUGAGGCCUAGCGGGGAUCGGCCAGCCAGAGUCGUCACUAAGCAUUAAAGGAAUGCAAGGAGGCUUAUGCUAGGGCUGACAAUGCCAACAAAAGGACCGAGAAGGUCCUAAAUGGACACGACCCGCAAGGUGGACAUCACCAAUAAUGAGUGAAAGGCCUUGAAGGAGGGGAAGGUCCUAUUAGUUGAUACCUCUCUUGAGGCUUAUGAGCUUGUUAUUUUAGAGGCCUUCAAGAAGUCCAAGCCAUCCUUUUGAAGGUGGUGUUAAAAUAAUGUUAAUCUAGAAAAAUCUUUGUUACUUUUGUAAUAUAUGUAAUCUAUAUUCUAGAAUGUGCCUAACAAAAAUCUAGUAAAUAAACUAGAAAGAUCUAGUAAGAACAAAAAAAAAAAAAAAAAAAAAAAAUAGAACUAUGCAGUUAGGUUGUAAACCGACUUAGAGCACUAUAAAUUCAUGUGAGUGCUCCUAGGUGUUUGUGUGUGUUUACAUGUAAUACAAAUCUUCCAAAAUAAUAUAAAAAGUCUUCUCCAUUGUUCUCCCUUGUCAAAUACUACAUUAAAAUUUUGCCUCCCAAAAUUACCAAAGCCCACUAACUACUUCCUCUAAUAAAUCCAUCAGGUGGCACUUGAACAUCCUUGGUUAGUGGUCGACUAAGGGUUAGCAGCCUUAGCUAAGGUCGAGGCCGACAACCUGCCUCAGGUGCGAAAGACAACGACCGAGGCUCUUCUUCUCGUGGCCUCGAUGCUGACGUUGUUUCCUUUGGCGAAUGAGCAUCCCUACCUGAAAACAUAUGAUGGGACGACUAUCCAAGGAUCUAAGCUCAAGCUUUGCUAGAUUCGCAACGUGCAGUUUUACAGAAAAGGGCCCACUCGUUAAGGCCAACGGACUCUCCCGCCAGGUUAAUGAACCCUCUCGAGAGCUUCUGAUCUUGAAGCAAUAAGUGUAACUUCCCUCUAUACUGGGAUGACAUUCAUGAUUUUUUUAUAGCACUUGAUCUUUGUAAACUUAAUCAUGAUUUCCUUGCCUCUGUUGUACUUCUACUAUCUCGAUUAAUGAAAUAAAGUUUUUGCUUCAAA